UGGGGAAUAUUGCACAAUGGGCGAAAGCCUGAUGCAGCGACGCCGCGUGAGGGAUGACGGCCUUCGGGUUGUAAACCUCUUUCAGCAGGGAAGAAGCGAAAGUGACGGUACCUGCAGAAGAAGCACCGGCUAACUACGUGCCAGCAGCCGCGGUAAUACGUAGGGUGCGAGCGUUGUCCGGAAUUAUUGGGCGUAAAGAGCUUGUAGGCGGUUUGUCGCGUCUGCAGUGAAAAUCCGAGGCUCAACCUCG
rnacentral:rRNA from 1 species